UGAGCAACCUGCCUUUCANAGGGGGAUAACAGUUGGAAACGACUGCUAAUACCGCAUAACGCUGCGAUGGGGCAUCCCGAUGCAGCCAAAGGAGCAAUCCGCUGGAAGAUGGGCUCGCGGCCGAUUAGCUAGUUGGUGGGGCAACGGCCUACCAAAGCGACGAUCAGUAGCCGGCCUGAGAGGGCGGACGGCCACACUGGGACUGAGACACGGCCCAGACUCCUACGGAAGGCAGCAG
rnacentral:rRNA from 1 species